CGUGCCUAACACAUGCAAGUCGUACGAGAAAGUCGGCUUCGGCCGGCGAGUAAAGUGGCGCACGGGUGAGUAACGCGUGGAUAAUCUACCCUUGAGUUGGGAAUAACGUGCCGAAAGGUGCGCUAAUACCGAAUAAUACUGAGUGACUAAUGUUGCUUAGUCAAAGAAGGCCUCUGCUUGCAAGCUUUCGCUGAAGGAUGAGUCCGCGUACCAUUAGCUAGUUGGUAGGGUAAUGGCCUACCAAGGCAACGAUGGUUAGCUGGUCUGAGAGGAUGAUCAGCCACACUGGAACUGAGACACGGUCCAGACUCCUACGGGAGGCAGCAGUGAGGAAUAUUGCGCAAUGGGGGCAACCCUGACGCAGCAACGCCGCGUGAGUGAGGAAGGUUUUCGGACCGUAAAGCUCUGUCGAGCGGGAAGAAAUGCAUGCUGGCUAAUAUCCAUCAUGCUUGACGGUACCGCUAGAGGAAGCACCGGCUAACUCCGUG
rnacentral:rRNA from 1 species